AAUGAAGGCCAACAUGGCUGCGGUGUAGAGAUGUGAUGAGAAGGGGCAGGACCAGGAACCAUGCAUUGGGCUGGGACACCCCUGGAAGAGGAGCAGGACCAGUGGAGAGAGAAUGUUGCUGAGCUCCAGCUUGGCUGUGCUGGUCUCGAGGUGUCACAGACAUCUAUGAAGUCUGCUUCUGGUUUCCAGGACAAAGCCAGGCUCAGAGGAAGAAAAAGGACUGGCUGAGGUCGCUUGGCCAGGAUGGGGCAGCAGUAGAAUCUGAACCCAGACCCACCUGCACCCAGAGCCCACGAUCCUCCAACUGCAUUGCAAACAUGCCUCCCUCCCCUAUGGGGAGCAGAACAGAAUAAGCAUCUUACAUCUCUGAUAACCACAGGCUGGGUGGGACAGAAGUCAAUUAAAAACUGAGGGGCAAACGGUGACC